rnacentral:rRNA from 1 species
CACGUGGGUAACCUGCCCAAGAGAUCGGGAUAACACCUGGAAACAGAUGCUAAUACCGGAUAACAACAGAUGAUGCCUAUCAACUGUUUAAAAGAUGGUUCUGCUAUCACUCUUGGAUGGACCUGCGGUGCAUUAGCUAGUUGGUAGGGUAACGGCCUACCAAGGCGAUGAUGCAUAGCCGAGUUUAGAGACUGAUCGGCCACAUUGGGACUGAGACACGGCCCAAACUCCUACGGGAGGCAGCAGGA